AAUCUCAGAUUAUUUUUAGAGGUAUAAAAGGUUUCCAGGAGAAAACAUCAAGACAUAUGACUUUUUUUUAAUUAAUAGUGAUUUAUUUUGAAGCUAUAAUAUUUAUAUUCUGAAAAUGCUUUUAGUCUAAUAUAGAGCAAGAACUAGAACAUUAGUAGAUUAUCAUUCUGCCAGUAUUAUAUUUAGUUUUGUUAAGAGAAAGCGAAUUUACAUUUAACUACAAGGAACAAAGAACUCAAUAUUUGUUUUAUUUUGUUCAGACUUAUUGUGAAAUAAUAAAGUACAAAAUUUCU
rnacentral:lncRNA from 1 species